UGCAGUCGAGGGGUAACAGGGAGCUUGCUCCGCUGACGACCGGCGCACGGGUGCGCAACGCGUAUACAAUCUGCCUUAUGCUGAGGGAUAGCCCAGAGAAAUUUGGAUUAAUACCUCAUGGUAUCGAGAGACGGCAUCGUUUUUUGAUUAAAGGUCACGGCAUAAGAUGAGUAUGCGUCCCAUUAGCUAGUUGGUGUGGUAACGGCACACCAAGGCUACGAUGGGUAGGGGUCCUGAGAGGGAGAUCCCCCACACUGGUACUGAGACACGGACCAGACUCCUACGGGAGGCAGCAGUGAGGAAUAUUGGACAAUGGGCGGAAGCCUGAUCCAGCCAUGCCGCGUGCAGGAAGACGGUCCUAUGGAUUGUAAACUGCUUUUAUACGGGAAGAAUAAGGGCUACGUGUAGCCUGGUGACGGUACCGUAAGAAUAAGGAUCGGCUAACUCCGUGCCAGCAGCCGCGGUAAUACGGAGGAUCCAAGCGUUAUCCGGAAUCAUUGGGUUUAAAGGGUCCGUAGGCGGACUAUUAAGUCAGGGGUGAAAGUCUGCAGCUCAACUGUAGAAUUGCCUUUGAUACUGGUAGUCUUGAGUUAUGGUGAAGUGGCUAGAAUAUGUAGUGUAGCGGUGAAAUGCAUAGAUAUUACAUAGAAUACCGAUUGCGAAGGCAGGUCACUAACCAUAUACUGACGCUGAUGGACGAAGCGUGGGGAGCGAACAGGAUUAGAUACCCUGGUAGUCCACGCCGUAAACGAUGGAUACUAGCUGU
rnacentral:rRNA from 1 species